rnacentral:rRNA from 1 species
AUUGAACGCUGGCGGCAUGCUUUACACAUGCAAGUCGAACGAGUGGCGCACGGGUGAGUAAUACAUCUGAACGUGUCCUCUCGUGGGGGAUAACUGAUCGAAAGACCAGCUCAUACCGCACACGCUUCGAGCGGCCGCUGCCCGAUUAGCUAGUUGGUGGGGUAAAGGCUCACCCAGGCGACGAUCGGUAGCUGGUCUGAGAGGACGACCAGCCACACUGGGACUGAGACACGGCCCAGACUCCUACGGGAGGCAGCAGUGGGGAAUUUUGGACAAUGGGGGCAACCCUGAUACAGCCAUGCCGCGUGCAGGAAGAAGGUCUUCGGAUUGUAAACUGCUUUUGUCAGGGAAGCGGUACCUGAAGAAUAAGCACCGGCUAACUACGUGCCAGCAGCCGCGGUAAUAC